rnacentral:lncRNA from 1 species
UUUCUAAAUUGUUAGAUUUUGUUUUCAUAUUUUUUUCUUUUCUCCCACUUUCUCCCCUUUUCUUUUGGAAAGGAUUCCACUCAACCGACUGAUUUUUUAGCUCCCGUCUGCCGCCUCGAUUGCAUAAUAUGUAUCCCACCUCACUUGUUUUUGGCUCCCGAUAACUGUUUUUCAACCUUUGUUAGAUCAUAAAUGUUGCAGAAAUAUCUUCCAGAUUUUCAAGAAAAUGUUCGUGC